rnacentral:misc_RNA from 1 species
GGCUUACUGCUCAACAGGUUUUGGGUAGGUAGAUGCAUGUCUUUUUAUUUUCUGGAAAAAUAUACCUAUUUUCUGUGGUUGCAUUGAGUCAUUUUGUUAUGUAUGCUAGUGGGCAUAUGAGGCAUCACCUUAUCCACUGAAUUUUAUGAACACACAAGUUCAUUUAUGUUUUGAAUGGUUUUUAGCAAAAACUGGAGCAUUCUUGACAUGGAUGUGGCCACAAUUUCGCUUCAAUUGGUUUUUGUAUGAAUCACAGCUGAUAACUUUUGCAGUUGACUGGUGUUGGUAGUUCCUAGUCAAGAAAUUUCACCAUUCUGUUUUACUAAUAAAUUAAGCAGCAUGACUGUAUCCUUUCUUGGCUGCUACAAAUUAUUGAGCCCUUUCUCACGUAAAAUUCAUUCUUUUUGUAGAUCAUUCCUGGAUGAAGGAU